AGGAGGGGCCUGGGACCCACACACACACCCUGCACCCUCCCUCCCCCAGCCGGCUGGAGGGGGGCACCGGGCGCCUACCCCACGGAGGCCAGGAGGCUGCGCUAGAGGACGGAUGGGGACGAUGAUUGGCAGCCAGAGGGGGGACGCCGCAUGAUUGGCCGGAUUCCUGGAGAGAGUUGCAAUAGUGGUGUAUGAGGCUGUGACGGCUCCCCACGGCGCCGGGGGAGUCUCAGCCAGAAGGAGCCGCGGGGGCCGCCCGUUGCUCGCACCCCGGAGGGGGCGGAGGGGGGGACAGAGGCAUCCAGCGCAGCAGAAGUGGCUGGAUGCAUCGCACCGUGGAACAGCUGGGGGGCCGGGCCGGACGGGAUCCCUUUGCUCUCAGCAGCCUGAGCUGCGGCGGGGCCUGGAACCCCGGCCACUCCCGCCCAUGGCUCCCGGGCGGCAGGUGCUCUGCCAGCAUCGGACAGUCUCAGCUGCCCCCACAUCUCUCGUCACCUCAUGGCACUAAUAUCGGGCACCCCAACAAACCCUAUUUCCCC